rnacentral:lncRNA from 1 species
AUUGAGGAUGGCUCGGGGGAGGUUGUGCUGAGCCGGAAGGUACUGCUGGACGGGGUGCAGAACCCCCGAGCAGAAGACCUGGUGGGGAAGUCUUUGUACGUGUCUGCCACCGUCAUCUUGCACUCAGAGCGCAGCGGGAUCCCCAUCGUGACCUCUCCCUACCAGAUCCACUUCACCAAGACACCCAAGUACUUCAAACCAGGAAUGCCCUUUGACCUCAUGGUGUUCGUGACGAACCCUGAUGGCUCUCCAGCCUACCGAGUCCCCGUGGCAGUCCAGGGCGAGGACACUGUGCAGUCUCUAACCCAGGGAGAUGGCGUGGCCAAACUCAGCAUCAACACACACCCCA